rnacentral:rRNA from 1 species
ACGUAGGGUGCGAGCGUUAAUCGGAAUUACUGGGCGUAAAGCGUGCGCAGGCGGUUGUGCAAGACAGAUGUGAAAUCCCCGGGCUCAACCUGGGAACUGCAUUUGUGACUGCACGACUGGAGUGCGGCAGAGGGGGAUGGAAUUCCGCGUGUAGCAGUGAAAUGCGUAGAUAUGCGGAGGAACACCGAUGGCGAAGGCAGCCCCCUGAGAUGACACUGACGCUCAUGUACGAAAGCGUGGGUAGCAAACAG